AACGAACGCUGGCGGCAUGCCUAACACAUGCAAGUCGAACGAAUGGUUUCGGCCAUUAGUGGCGCACGGGUGAGUAACGCGUGGGAAUCUGCCCAGCAGUGGGGGAUAACCUCUGGAAACGGAGGCUAAUACCGCAUACGCCCCUCGGGGGAAAGGCUUGCUGCUGCUGGAGGAGCCCGCGUCGGAUUAGGUAGUUGGUGGGGUAACGGCCUACCAAGCCUGUGAUCCGUAGCUGGUCUGAGAGGAUGAUCAGCCACACUGGGACUGAGACACGGCCCAGACUCCUACGGGAGGCAGCAGUGGGGAAUAUUGGACAAUGGGCGCAAGCCUGAUCCAGCAAUGCCGCGUGAGUGAUGAAGGCC
rnacentral:rRNA from 1 species